rnacentral:rRNA from 1 species
UACGUAGGGUCCGAGCGUUGUCCGGAAUUAUUGGGCGUAAAGGGCUCGUAGGCGGUCUGUCGCGUCGGGAGUGAAAACUCAGGGCUCAACCCUGAGCGUGCUUCCGAUACGGGCAGACUAGAGGUAUGCAGGGGAGAACGGAAUUCCUGGUGUAGCGGUGGAAUGCGCAGAUAUCAGGAGGAACACCGGUGGCGAAGGCGGUUCUCUGGGCAUUACCUGACGCUGAGGAGCGAAAGCAUGGGGAGCGAAC